CUCAUUAAAAAAUAUUAGCUUAUACUUUUUUCAAAUGAUACAGAGAAGAUUAGUAUGGCCCUUGUGCAAAGAUGAUAUGCAAAUGCGUGAAGUGUUCCAUAUUUUU